GGGGGCGACUGGUAUCGACCGGAUGCUGUCGCGCCUGGCUUUGCGUGUCGAGGUUCCAGGUGGCCUCGUAAAACCCUGGAAACACUUUGAUGUGCCGAUGAGCACUUCGCCCUGGCUGCCUAGAUAGCGUAGCCACGGAGCCGCGAGUUCGCUCGUGACCCGCGCCUCCGAUACACAGCGAGCUAGCCUCCACCGGUUGCGAGAGCAAGUGGCGGCGAAAUCCAACUCUCGCUGGCUGGUGCCGGAUCCUGUCCUUGGGAGCCGGAACCAGUGAGACUCCAAAUCACGGACUACACACGUAGACGGGUCCGGCCGGGCAUCACGGGACGGGGGUUCGACUCCCCCCGCCUCCACCA
rnacentral:tmRNA from 1 species